rnacentral:rRNA from 1 species
GACGAACGCUGGCGGCGUGCCUAACACAUGCAAGUCGAACGGGGUAAUUCCUCCGGGGAUUACUUAGUGGCGAACGGGUGAGUAACGCGUGAGAAACCUGCCUUUCAGUGGGGGACAACAGUUAGAAAUGACUGCUAAUACCGCAUAAUGUUAUUUGGGGGCAUCCCUGAAUAACCAAAGCUUUAUGUGCUGAAAGAUGGUCUCGCGUCUGAUUAGCUAGAUGGCGGGGUAACGGCCCACCAUGGCGACGAUCAGUAGCCGGUCUGAGAGGAUGAACGGCCACAUUGGGACUGAGAUACGGCCCAGACUCCUACGGGAGGCAGCAGUGGGGAAUAUUGGGCAAUGGGGGAAACCCUGACCCAGCAACGCCGCGUGAAGGAAGAAGGCCUUCGGGUUGUAAACUUCUUUUAGCAGGGACGAAGAACGUGACGGUACCUGCAGAAAAAGCAACGGCUAACUACGUGCCAGCCGCCGCAGUAAGAC